CCCCUGUCAGGGAGCGGGGCGGUAGCUCCGCCCCCGAGUCCCCUCAGCGGCGGCGGGAGCGGGGGCGAGCGGGGCCGCUGCCUCUAUCGCAGCUGCUGCCGCCGCCGCCGCCGCCGGGUGAGGCGGAGCGAGGGUUGGGGGGGGGGGUGGCGGCUACGGUCGGCCCCGACACCUGCCUUUGCAGCGACGCCCCUUCAUCUCCCGCGGCCCCGGGCGUCUCCUCAGAGAAACUCGCCGCUUCCCGCCGCUCAGCGGUGGGGGAAGGUCUCCAGGCGUCUCGGCACGGCAGGCACCCGGCGCGUCUUGUAAGAUUUAUCUGCCAGAAACCACGGGAAAUUAAUGAAUUUAAAUAUAAAUACCAAUGUGUUCUGUCAAUGGACCUGUAUCGCCCCAAGGAAAUCACAUAUCCCCGUUAUAUGCUGCUGAGCUUGAGGGAUUUGAAGCCCGGAUUGCCAGCCUGGUGGAAAUGCUUCUGGUGGAGGUAUUACAGGUGCAAGCUCUGCCAGUUCCCGAGCAGUGUCAAAAUUAAGAUCAGGACACAUCUGGCUCAUAUGCAUGAAACAGAUAUGGCAUGUCGAAUUUCAGGCUGUCCUAAAAUGGACCAAGAUACAAGUGAGUCAUAUAGCAUGGGAGAUGAAGCUGACCAAGAAAAUAAAGAAAACGAAUGAAAAUCUUGGAAAAAAAAGCCUGUCUUAUUACCUGUAUAUUAGAUGUCUCAAAAUAUCAGUCCUCACUGCUGUGACAUGAGCCCAAGCCAUCAGAGCAGUAAUCCUCAUGCCUCUCACUCCUGUGAAGUGAACACCUUAUUUGGAGAAGCAGCAGCUUGUUUGCAGCUUGAGGAGCCUUGUUCUGUUGUGCUGGCUUCUCUUUCAUAUUCCAAGAGCAAAGAUCAAGAAGCAGCCCAGCGUGUGCCGCUUGGCCUCUGUCAUGUUUCCAGUGUUAGAAGUCAGACCUUAGUUGGGGAGGUAAAAACACUUAAAGCUGAGUCAAGGUGUAAAAAUUACAAAAAUCAGAGGAAAGCUACAUGUGGCAAUAAAGGGUCAGCUCAUCCUGUGAAGGAUGCUUGCGCCUUAAAGCUGGCUUCUGACAGAGCUCAGCAUUUCUGCAAUGUGUGCAGCAUUGCACUGAAGCUGAAAGAUGCUCAUAAAAUCCAUGACAAGAGUCAUGAUGUCGAUCGUGACUUCAGAUGUGUUUAUUGUGUGUGACUGAGUGGGACUUAAUGGAAAAUCAUUUAAAAUCACACAAGAGGAUAAAAGAAACCUACUGGUGCCUCAUCUGAGAAGGUGUUUUUAUGUCACAAUGAGCCUGGAAGAUGCACAGAAACAGCCAUUGGAGGAAACCAUCUCUUUCAGUGCACAAUAUAUUCAUAAUCUUUUGAAUUUGAAUGGAUAAGAAAUCUUCGUGUAGCUUGCCGUUAUCAGGAUAUGUUUAAAUGUCUACACAGUGAUUUUACCAGUCCUGUGACAUCUAGACCCUUUAGGGUCACUGGUUUCAGCUCCAUCAUGACAUCCUAACAUAGAUUGUGUUGGUGUUGAUGUACUGACCACUGAACCACACUGGAGAAGUUGGUGUACACUGAAUGGAGGAUCAGGUUAAAAGCCUUUCAAAAUGUGAGAUCUGCUCUUAUACCUCCAUUGAUACAAGCUCUCUGCAGCAGCACUUCUGAACACGUGCUAGUGAGAGGCCCUACAAAUGUUGACUCUGUUCAUAUAGUUGCACUAAGAAGAAGAGCUUGGACCUUCCCAUAUGCUGUCACACUGGUGAGGGAUUUGGCUGUAGUUUCUGCUGCUAUUCUUCUCCAAAAACACAUUAAGAAAUAAUCACCUGGGUUCAGGAACCUCAUUAACCAAUUCUCAGCCCACCUUUACCUUCAAACCACUUCCUGUGGAACAUUAGGUUCUUCACGCUUAAACUUCCACUAGAGUAUGCUGGCAAAUAAAGAAUCUGUUGGCAUUGUCAGACUUUUGUGCUGAAAGCCAUGGGCUAUCUGGAAGAAGAGAAGAAAUGGUCCUUAUGUGGCAAUUAGAAGCACUUAGAAUGGUCUUCCCCAAAAGCUCUCUGUGCGUUAUGGUACAGGUUGUGACUCUGGUUUGCUGAGAGGAGCACAUAGCUUGGUGUUGCGCAGAGAGUGGACAUGUUGAUUUCUGUUCUGGUUACCUCUUGCUAAUAUAUUCUGCUUGCUUACAAAUGAAGAGUUUGACAUUUCAAGGCAGAAUCUGUUGAAAUGUACCAAAGCUGACAGUGAACCCUACAGGUUGUUUCUGUACUACAUCUCCCAUUUUUAAUACAAGUCUCUAUAAAACAGUAAACGAUUCAAGAAAAUCUACUGAUGCCGUAGCACUCAUGGUAAAAAAAAAAAAAAAAUCACUACAUUUCUUCAUGGUUAUUUUUAAUAACAAAAUGUGUCUAUUACCAAAAGCUAGUCCAAUGUUGAGGUAAAAAUAUAAACUAUUGAAAUAUGACAUCAAAUAAACUUGACUUGAAGAUUCAGUGGUUAAA